rnacentral:lncRNA from 1 species
CGAAAAUAAGAAUUACAUCAUUCUUGAAUCCAACAAUAAGAAAAGAAAGAUGAGGUUCAUAAUCUUGUUCAUAAUCUUUAUCUCAGUAGGAUCUAACGAUUCCGGGCAUGAAAGUGGUGCUGGAAUUUACGGAUCCAGCUUUAAGUUCUUGUGACGUUGCAUCUGAAUGGAGCAAAACAUUUGAAGGCUGAGGUAUGCUGGAAAUCGGUAUCUACAUUCCACAUGACAAGUGUUUUUUUUGCAAGCCUUAGAAACCAAUGUUGUUGUCACUCUUAGGCAACCACAUUGGUCGUGUGUGCACCCAACCUUCUUAGGUGUGGCUGAGCCUAUAUAUAUCAGCCACACCUGCACUGUCUUCACUUUCAGGUCAAUCAGAUUCAAUUAAAAGGGUCCAAAAUGCUCCUAUUUUGGGUUCUAGAAUUUGCUUUAGCGGUUUUCGCUUGUGAGCCCAUAGGAGAUACUGAUGCAGCCUGUAGAAACGACUGUUACCGAAAAGACUGUGAUGGAACAGUGUAUGACAUCCAAGAGGCUACUUGCUGUGAAAACAAACUUCACCCAGGUGCAAGUUUGUCUUGUUGUGGAAAUGAGCCUUACAAUCCUGAAACAGCCACUUGUUGUAAACACAAUCUCACAGCCAGUGUUACUCAGGGUCUGAGUGAAAAGGUGUCCAAGUGCUGUGACCUGAAGGCCUACAACCCAGUCAAUGAAAUGUGUUGUCAAUCAACCAUCAUAUCAAAACCUGGACCAAUGGCUGAAUGCUGUGUUAAAGAUGUUUUUGAUGAGGACAAGCAGUUGUGUUGUGGUCCAGCUGAUAAUAAGACAAUUCUGGUGAGGAAUUCCCGUCACCAUGAGUGCUGUGGUCACAGCCAGUACGACACUGAGACUCAGUGCUGCUGUUCAAAUGAGGAGAAGAUGGAGAUACAAUCGAAGGAUUCAUCCUGCUGUGUCAAGAAUUUCACUCCAGGCCUUUCAAGUGGAAAUACCACCUUCAACAAACCUUCACCAAAGCAUGGAUAUUGUGGUGAAGAGAUUUACGAUAUGGAAAAUAAGUUGUGUUGUGGUCCAAAUAAUGAUAAAAAGAUCCUGACAAAGAAGUCCAGAGAUCAUGUGUGCUGUCAUCAUGGCCAGUUCAACGUCAAAACUGAGUGCUGCUGUUAUAACAAUCAUAUUGCUGAAGUACAGUUGACGAAUUCAUCUUGCUGUAUGAAACAGCAGAUAUUCAAGCUCCAACCCAAAUGCACUGAACCAAACACACAUCUCUGUGGGUCGUCGUGUUACAAUCCAAAGCAAAAUCGCUGCUGUGAGAGUAACCACGAGCCUCACUCACUUGACAACUCAGGUCAAAGGAAGGCCACAGCCACCGUGUACAACCCACAUACUCAGGUCUGCUGUGAUGGACGUGUAUCUCCGUGGAAGCCUUGGAUCGAUCAGUGCUGUGGAGAGACGCCGUAUGGCUCGGCACAACGUGGAGCUCUGUCUUGUAAUAAGACCUUGUACGAGGACAGAUAUGAUGGAGAGGAAUGUUCAGAGAUGGGUAUUCCUUACAACCCGGCUAAAGGGACCAUAUGUUGUUCUCAGUUUCAUGGCAGCCCAGGACAACACUGCUGUGGGACAGAAAUUUACCGGCCUCGUACUGAGAUCUGCUGCAAUGGACACAGACAUCUGAAAUCAGAAAACAUUCACUGCUGUGGGGUCAAAGCCUACAACAUUAAAGACCCACAGAUGAAGUGCUGUGCAGGAACACUGUACAAUCUGACAUCAUUAGACAAGCAUGGAGGGGAUGCGCAGUGCUGCGGAUCCAUUCUGCAAAAGCCACAGGACAUUUGCUGCUCAAGUGAGGACAAAGAGGUGCUCUACUCUGCCAAAAUAGGGUUCAGAUGCUGUGGUCACCUUUACUAUAACACCACCCUGUGGUCAUGCUGUGCUGGGGGGCUGAGAAGAAUCCGUGAACCAGGACAGGAUCAGAGAAAGAUGAUUAAUGGAUCCAGACUUCUAUCUGUGAAUAAUCUGAACAAAAUCGAUCUUUGCAAAGAAAUGCACAUUGGGACUGUGGAAAGUGUGUCGCUGCAGAGCAUUGUGUUCAGGAGUGUGCUGAAGGUCCAUGGGAUGGAGGCCAAAGUGAAAGCUCUGCCAUUCCCUUACAUCCUGGAAAGAGAUGAUCGCUGCAGCUCCCCUAAACUGAUUGCUGGGAAGACCUACUACUUUAACAAAGUUAAUGUUUUCAUUGAUUUCAAUCAUGACUCUGUUCUUCAGUCACUCCAUUUCAUUAUUUGCAAAUGUUCAUCUCAGGUCACCACUGGCUGAUGUAUACAUGGUCAGUGUGGAUCUGUUGCUCCCUUCUUUGAACAAGUUCUCUUUUUUCACAUAUUUACUCACAGUGUUGGCUUUGUCACACAGAAAAUUAAUUAAUUACACAUCACAUUAUACUGGUUAACAUUAUUUUACAAAGUAAUUUGUUACCAUAUUUAUUACAGAGUACUUGUUGCAUUGCAACCUAAUAUACUCACCCCAAAUUACUCUCUGAUGCACCCAUCACAGUGUGAAUGUUUGCUUGAACUUAAACACAGAAAGAAGUCGUUGUAUGAAUGUGUGAAUGAGGGACGUUGUAUCAAGCGCUUUGAGUGCUCAGGUAGGGUAGAAAAGUGUUAUAUAGAAGAACCUGUCCAUUUAUCAGUAGUAUACAAUACUUCACAUGAUAUGUUGUUUAUACAUUACUCUGCCUAUGUCCAGCCAAACCAUGUUGCUCUGUUGUUAACACAUCCCAAGAUGUCUUAUCACAGACAGAAUUUAGGUACUUUAAGUAAAGAAAACAAAAAACAAUGUAGCUUUUAACUUCAGUUUUACAGGGACUCACAUUGUAGUGAUUCACACAACUUGACAUUAAUCAAUACUGUAACACAGUAAGCUGGUGCACAAUGUUGUUUCUCAAAUCUAAAUUUGAACAAAAUCUAAAUGUAACUUUGAUUCUUGCACUGAUCUAAAAUACAAGGGACAACUGUGUGCACAUGUCCUUGAACCAUACAAUUCAAUACUUGUGGUAAAGUCCAUGAUUUACUGUGAUUGUUAAUUCUAAUGAAUGAUAAACACUUAAUGCCAAUAUCAUGAAUACAAAUAUGUUAGAAGGACCCACUAAAAAUUCCAUUAGUUUCUGUUUCUUUGAAUGUGAUUCAUGUAAAAUAGUUAAUGGUAAGGAUAGGUAUGGGAAUUUAAGAAUGGUAAGGAAUCUAGUAAGGACUUGAGGGACAUUUAAGCUAUAAGCAAACAUAAACACUGCCUGCUUGAUUUAGUGACUUUGUUGUUAAUAUAAUAUAUUGCAUAUAUAUAUUGUAAAUGUUUAAUAUUUGAAUGGACCUAUUAUCCUUUAAGGAUUCAAAUAAAUAAAUACAAACACUUAUUAAACCUGCUGUGUUUUCUCUUG